AGAGUUCGAUUAUGGCUCAGGACGAACGCUGGCGGCGUGCUUAACACAUGCAAGUCGAACGAGAAUCUGAUGAAGGAGUUUUCGGACAACGGAUUCAGAGGACAGUGGCGGACGGGUGAGUAACGCGUGAGGAACCUGCCUUUCAGAGGGGGACAACAGUUGGAAACGACUGCUAAUACCGCAUAACACAUUGAAGUCGCAUGGCUUUAAUGUCAAAGAUUUAUCGCUGAAAGAUGGCCUCGCGUCUGAUUAGCUAGUUGGUGAGGUAACGGCCCACCAAGGCGACGAUCAGUAGCCGGACUGAGAGGUUGACCGGCCACAUUGGGACUGAGAUACGGCCCAG
rnacentral:rRNA from 1 species